CCUAGGGUGGCUGCAGUGGGGAAUAUUGGACAAUGGGGGGAACCCUGAUCCAGCCAUGCCGCGUGUGUGAAGAAGGCCCUCGGGUUGUAAAGCACUUUCAGUGAGGAAGAACGCCUGGUGGUUCAUACCCAUCAGGAAAGACAUCACUCACAGAAGAAGCACCGGCUAACUCCGUGCCAGCAGCCGCGGUAAUACGGAGGGUGCGAGCGUUAAUCGGAAUUACUGGGCGUAAAGCGCGCGUAGGUGGCUUGAUAAGCCGGUUGUGAAAGCCCCGGGCUCAACCUGGGAACGGCAUCCGGAACUGUCAAGCUAGAGUGCAGGAGAGGAAGGUAGAAUUCCCGGUGUAGCGGUGAAAUGCGUAGAGAUCGGGAGGAAUACCAGUGGCGAAGGCGGCCUUCUGGACUGACACUGACACUGAGGUGCGAAAGCGUGGGUAGCAAACAGGAUUAGAUACCCUAGUAGUC
rnacentral:rRNA from 1 species